CGAAUGCUGACGUGAGUAACGACAAAACGGGUGAAAAACCCGUUCGCCGAAAGACCAAGGGUUCCAGUCCAACGUUAAUCGGGGCUGGGUGAGUCGACCCCUAAGGCGAGGCCGAAAGGCGUAGUCGAUGGGAAAAUGGUUAAUAUUCCAUUACUUCUGUGUAAUGCGAUGAGAGGACGGAGAAGGCUAAAUCAGCCUGGCGUUGGUUGUCCAGGUGAAAGGAUGUAGGCAUGUAUCUUAGGCAAAUCCGGGGUACUCUAUGCUGAGAUCUGAUAGCAAGCUGUACUUGUACAGCGAAGUGGUUGAUGCCAUGCUUCCAGGAAAAGUCUCUAAGCUUCAGUUACACAGGAAUCGUACCCGAAACCGACACAGGUGGUCAGGUCGAGUAGACCAAGGCGCUUGAGAGAACUCUGCUGAAGGAACUAGGCAAAAUGGUACCGUAACUUCGGGAGAAGGUACGCUGUUGUUGGUGAUGGAACUCGCUUCCUGAGCUGACGACAGCCGCAGAAACCAGGCCGCUGCAACUGUUUAUUAAAAACAUAGCACUCUGCAAACACGAAAGUGGACGUAUAGGGUGUGAUGCCUGCCCGGUGCUGGAAGGUUAAUUGAUGGGGUUAGCGUAAGCGAAGCUCUUGAUCGAAGCCCCAGUAAACGGCGGCCGUAACUAUAACGGUCCUAAGGUAGCGAAAUUCCUUGUCGGGUAAGUUCCGACCUGCACGAAUGGCAUAAUGAUGGCGGCGCUGUCUCCAGCAGAGGCUCAGUGAAAUCGAAAUCGCUGUGAAGAUGCAGUGUACCCGCGGCUAGACGGAAAGACCCCGUGAACCUUUACUGCAGCUUGACACUGAACUUUGACCUUACUUGUGUAGGAUAGGUGGGAGGCUUUGAAGCUGGAACGCUAGUUCCAGUGGAGCCGUCCUUGAAAUACCACCCUGGUAAUGUUGAGGUUCUAACUCUGUCCCGUGAUCCGGGACGAGGACCGUGUCUGGUGGGUAGUUUGACUGGGGCGGUCUCCUCCUAAAGAGUAACGGAGGAGUACGAAGGUGCGCUCAGCGUGGUCGGAAAUCACGCGUAGAGUAUAAAGGCAAAAGCGCGCUUAACUGCGAGACCCACAAGUCGAGCAGGUACGAAAGUAGGUCUUAGUGAUCCGGUGGUUCUGUAUGGAAGGGCCAUCGCUCAACGGAUAAAAGGUACUCUGGGGAUAACAGGCUGAUACCGCCCAAGAGUUCAUAUCGACGGCGGUGUUUGGCACCUCGAUGUCGGCUCAUCUCAUCCUGGGGCUGAAGCAGGUCCCAAGGGUAUGGCUGUUCGCCAUUUAAAGAGGUACGCGAGCUGGGUUUAGAACGUCGUGAGACAGUUCGGUCCCUAUCUACCGUGGGCGCUGGAAAUUUGAGAGGAUCUGCUCCUAGUACGAGAGGACCA
rnacentral:rRNA from 1 species